GCCGAGGUGGCGGAAUUGGUAGACGCGCUAGCUUGAGGGGCUAGUGACCGCUUAGGUCGUGUGGGUUCAAGUCCCAUCCUCGGCACCA
rnacentral:tRNA from 1 species